GAUGAACGCUGGCGGCGUGCCUAACACAUGCAAGUCGAACGGAGUCGUUUUGGCAAUCUCUUCGGAGAUGGAAUUCUCGACGUAGUGGCGGACGGGUGAGUAACGCGUUAGCAGUCUGCCUUUAAGAGGGGGAUAACAGUCGGAAACGGCUGCUAAUACCGCAUAAAGCAUUAAAUUCGCAUGUUUUGGUUGCCAAAGGAGCAAUCGGCUUUUAGAUGAGCUCGCGUCUGAUUAGCUAGUUGGCGGGGUAACGGCCCACCAAGGCGACGAUCAGUAGCCGGACUGAGGGGUUGAACGGCCACAUUGGGACUGAGACGCGGCCGAGCCUCCUACUGGGGGCAGCAGUGGUGAAUAUUGCGGAAUGGGGGACGCCCUGACGCAGCAGCGCCGCGUGAUUGAAGAAGGCCUUCGGGUUGUAAAGAUGUUUAAUCAGGGACGAAACAAAUGACGGUACCUGAAGAAUAAGCUCCGGCUAACUACGUG
rnacentral:rRNA from 1 species